CGUACACUCCUGCGGGAGGCAGCAGUGGGGAAUAUUGGACAAUGGGCGCAAGCCUGAUCCAGCCAUGCCGCGUGAGUGAUGAAGGCCCUAGGGUUGUAAAGCUCUUUCACCGGUGAAGAUAAUGACGGUAACCGGAGAAGAAGCCCCGGCUAACUUCGUGCCAGCAGCCGCGGUAAUACGAAGGGGGCUAGCGUUGUUCGGAUUUACUGGGCGUAAAGCGCACGUAGGCGGACUAUUAAGUCAGGGGUGAAAUCCCGGGGCUCAACCCCGGAACUGCCUUUGAUACUGGUAGUCUUGAGUUCGAGAGAGGUGAGUGGAAUUCCGAGUGUAGAGGUGAAAUUCGUAGAUAUUCGGAGGAACACCAGUGGCGAAGGCGGCUCACUGGCUCGAUACUGACGCUGAGGUGCGAAAGCGUGGGGAGCAAACAGGAUUAGAUACCCCAGUAGUCC
rnacentral:rRNA from 1 species